GCUGUGGUGGUGUAAUGGUUAACAUUUCUGCCUACCAAGCAAGAAGACCUGGGUUCGAGUCCCAGCUGCAGCA